rnacentral:snRNA from 1 species
AUCUUUGCGCUUGGGGCAGUGACGCAGUCAAUGAGGUAUUAACCGAGGCGCGUCAAUUGCUGGUUGAAAAUCAUGAAU